rnacentral:rRNA from 1 species
ACUUAAAUUGAAGAGUUUGAUCAUGGCUCAGAUUGAACGCUGGCGGCAGGCCUAACACAUGCAAGUCGGACGGUAGCACAGGGGAGCUUGCUCCUCGGGUGACGAGUGGCGGACGGGUGAGUAAUGUCUGGGGAUCUGCCCGAUAGAGGGGGAUAACCACUGGAAACGGUGGCUAAUACCGCAUAACGUCGCAAGACCAAAGAGGGGGACCUUCGGGCCU